rnacentral:ribozyme from 1 species
UACCUAAGCGGAAGGAAGGAAGUUGAACAGGAAAGGGAAAGGGAGAAACAAGUAAGUGCCUUCCUUCUGACUUACUCGACUUUUGCCUCAUCCAUCUAUUGUUCUGUCUCUUUUCUCUCUCUCUCUCUCUUCUGCCCCGU